AGAAUCAACGCUGGCGGCGUGCCUCAGACAUGCAAGUCGAACGAUUAAACUUUCCUUCGGGAAAGAUAUAAAGUGGCGCACGGGUGAGUAACACGUAAGUAAUCUACCUUUGAGUGGGGAAUAACAGUCGGAAACGGCUAGCUAAUACCGCAUAAUGCAGCGGCAUCGCAAGAUGACAGUUGUUAAAGGAGCAAUCCGACUUAAAGAGGAGCUUGCGGCAGAUUAGCUAGUUGGUAAGGUAAUGGCUUAACCGAAGGCUACGAUCGUACGUAACCGGUACUAAGGAGGACGGGUCGUAC
rnacentral:rRNA from 1 species